rnacentral:tRNA from 1 species
GGUGGCUCAGUGGUAGAGCGCAUGCUUUGCAUGCCUGAGGCCCUGGGUUCCAUUCCUCAGCACCA